rnacentral:sRNA from 1 species
UGCCUCACCUAGGCCUGUGGCUUCUUGCCUGGCAGGUGCCACUUCUCCACUUUUAAGCAGUGCCAAGAGUGGCUCUCACGGCUAAGCCGAGCCACAGCAAGACCUGCCAAGCCUGAAGACCUCUUUGCCUUUGCCUACCAUGCCUGGUGCCUGGGGCUGACCGAGGAGGACCAGCACACUCACCUAUGUCAGCCAGGUGAGCACAUACGUUGUCGGCAGGAGGCGGAGCUUGCGAGGAUGGGCUUUGACCUGCAGAACGUCUGGAGAGUCUCACACAUCAACAGCAACUACAAGUGAGAGGGUUGGGGACCAAAACACCUUCCACACCAAACUACUUCCGUGUUUGGAUAAAGUGUGGUGGGCACAGCUUCUGAGUCUGAGAGGGAGGAAGGCUCAUGGUUUCUCUUCCCACAAAGCCAUCCCCAGGGAUCCUGUCAUC